rnacentral:rRNA from 1 species
ACUCCUACGGGAGGCAGCAGUGGGGAAUUUUGCGCAAUGGGCGAAAGCCUGACGCAGCAACGCCGCGUGAGUGAUGAAGGCUUUCGGGUCGUAAAGCUCUGUCAGGGGGAAAGAAGUGUAUUGUGGCUAAUAUCCACGAUACUUGACGGUACCCCCAAAGGAAGCACCGGCUAACUCCGUGCCAGCAGCCGCGGUAAUACGGAGGGUGCAAGCGUUGUUCGGAAUUAUUGGGCGUAAAGCGCGUGUAGGCGGUUUGUUAAGUCUGAUGUGAAAGCCCCGGGCUCAACCCGGGAAGUGCAUUGGAAACUGGCAGACUUGAAUACGGGAGAGGGUAGUGGAAUUCCUAGUGUAGGAGUGAAAUCCGUAGAUAUUAGGAGGAACACCGGUGGCGAAGGCGGCUGCCUGGACCGAUAUUGACGCUGAGACGCGAAAGCGUGGGUAGCAAACAGGAUUAGAUACCCUGGUAGUCCACGCCGUAAACGAUGAGAACUAGGUGUCGCGGGUA